rnacentral:rRNA from 1 species
AGAGAAGGCGGGCGGCAGGCCUAACACAUGCAAGUCGAACGAACUCUUCGGAGUUAGUGGCGGACGGGUGAGUAACACGUGGGAACGUGCCUUUUGGUUCGGAAUAACUCAGGGAAACUUGUGCUAAUACCGAAUGUGCCCUUCGGGGGAAAGAUUUAUCGCCAUUAGAGCGGCCCGCGUCUGAUUAGCUAGUUGGUGAGGUAACGGCUCACCAAGGCGACGAUCAGUAGCUGGUCUGAGAGGAUGACCAGCCACACUGGGACUGAGACACGGCCCAGACUCCUACGGGAGGCAGCAGUGGGGAAUCUUGCGCAAUGGGCGAAAGCCUGACGCAGCCAUGCCGCGUGAAUGAUGAAGGUCUUAGGAUUGUAAAAUUCUUUCACCGGGGACGAUAAUGACGGUACCCGGAGAAGAAGCCCCGGCUAACUUCGUG